rnacentral:misc_RNA from 1 species
GCAUAUAUAUGUAUUCUUAUAGCUCUUUAACGUCGGGAUCCUUUUAGAUGAUUUACAAUUAUAUUGAAGUUGCAGAAUAGUGUUUCUUAACUUUGUAUUUUCAUUCUUUUGUCUUUACUACAUGAUAAGGUUUUGCAAGCAAGUCUGUUUUUUCAGCCUUUUAUGCAUAUUCACAGCGAAUAAAAGCAAUGUAGGAUUUGAAAAUCCAGUGAUGCAAUUAAUCUUAUCAUAUACACGAUCGUUUGAUUUCAACCUUAAUUUUAAUGGAUUCCAUAAUAUAUGAUAUCUUAUCGUAUGCAUGAUUGCAUGAUUUCAACCUUAAUGGAUUCCAUAAUAUAUGAU